AUUGAACGCUGGCGGCAUACUUUACACAUGCAAGUCGAACGGUAACAGGGUGCUUGCACCGCUGACGAGUGGCGAACGGGUGAGUAAUGCGUCGGAACGUGCCGAGUAGUGGGGGAUAACGCAGCGAAAGUUGUGCUAAUACCGCAUACGUACUGAGGUAGAAAGUGGGGGACCUUCAGGCCUCACGCUAUUCGAGCGGCCGACGUCUGAUUAGCUAGUAGGUGAGGUAAAGGCUCACCUAGGCGACGAUCAGUAGCGGGUCUGAGAGGAUGAUCCGCCACACUGGGACUGAGACACGGCCCAGACUCCUACGGGAGGCAGCAGUGGGGAAUUUUGGACAAUGGGCGAAAGCCUGAUCCAGCCAUGCCGCGUGUCUGAAGAAGGCCUUCGGGUUGUAAAGGACUUUUGUCAGGGAGGAAAUCCCUAGUGCUAAUAACACUGGGGGAUGACAGUACCUGAAGAAUAAGCACCGGCUAACUACGUGCCAGCCGCCGCGGUAA
rnacentral:rRNA from 1 species